GGAAGGACCGUGGCUCACUGGUAGAGCUCUGCCUUGCAUGCAGAAGGCCCUAGGUUCAAUCCCUGGCGUCUCCA